GUGACUCUGAGCUCGCGGCGCUCGGGCCGGUUGUGACGUCAGGCGCGCCCAGGCUCCUCACUCGCUCUUUGGCAGGUGCGGCGCGACUAGUGCGGUCUCGUCUGAUCCCAGCGGGUCCGGGCCGAACCAGUGCCUAGCAGUUUCGAAGAGAAGAGAGGUGUACUCAGCAGGUCCCUGAUGAACCAAGGGAACCCUCCACCGUAUCCAGGGCCCGGUCCAACGGCUCCGUACCCACCUUAUCCACAGCAACCGAUGGGGCCUGAGGGCUACCCUCCAGGACCUAUGGGGGGACCCUACCCACCUCCUCAGGGGUACCCCUACCAAGGAUACCCACAGUACGGCUGGCCGGGUGGACCUCAGGAGCCUCCUAAAAGCACAGUGUAUGUGGUGGAAGACCAGAGAAGGGAUGACCUGGGCCCAUCUACCUGCCUCACAGCCUGCUGGACUGCCCUCUGUUGCUGCUGUCUCUGGGAUAUGCUCACCUGACGACCCUGGCUCUCCUGUCUUGCCAGCUCUGCCGCCACCGCCAACAAGCGUGCCUGCCCCCAUCUCUUCUGAUUGCUGAAAUCAAUGACUAGCUCUGCACAGACACUUCUACCUUCAACGCAGUGGGAUUCUAGAUUAGCAGGGGUUGCUGCUGUUUAAUUCAGUGACUUGAUCUUUUUAAUCUUCAAAUCCAUUUCUUAUUGGUCUUUCACAAAUGUGCUAAAUGACUUUCAUUUUUUUGGCCAAAGGCUUAGUGACAAAAUAUAUAUUUAUAAUUUUAAAAUUAUACAUUCAAGGUAGUGGCAUGAUAUAACAUACCACUGAAUGAUUUCUCUGCUAACACCCUGUAUGUUUCAAUAAAUUUGUCUAAACUUCAA